UUAUUCACAGGGCUUCUUCUAACACCAGGGUGCUUCUCCUGCAGACGAACAAAAUGGUGUCAAGAAAGCAAAUAUGUUGAUAUAAUUAUUUUUUAGCUGCUGAGCCUAUUGAUUGAGACUGUCAUUGGGAAAAUACUUGAGUAGCUGUUGUGCCACAUGACUGAAAUCAAUUGUACUUGAGUUCUUGUCUCGUGUGACAAAUCUAAUGGAUUUGAUUGAUCUGUUUGGUGUAAGCAAGGCCUGGAGCAAAUCUUCCACAUCAAUCCAUGUGGGAUUAUAUGUGCGGAAAAUGAUUUCAACCUUAUUUAUGAGCAACACAGGCUCAAAUUAAAGGAAGGUUGAUGUUGGAUAACCACAGAUGAGGAAUAGUUCUGACUACCUUGUGCUGGUGAUGUAACUUAAGGGUGAUGUGAUCUUCAGAGUCCUUUUGAUGAUUUUUCAGAUGAAUUGUUGCUUAUUCAGGCCACUAUGCUUCAAAGAAAUCUUUCCUCUUCACUGGAUAGGAACAAAGUUUGCUAUUUUUAAAAGUUAGCUUAAGUUACUUUGGAAUUGUAAAACUUUAAUGAUAUGAUUUUGGAAGACCACUGCCCUGAAGGCAUUUAAGAGUUUAAAGCCAUCAAGCAAGAACCUGCUUAAGUGAGGGAAUAAACCUGGUAGCCUAAAAACA
rnacentral:lncRNA from 1 species